rnacentral:rRNA from 1 species
CGGCGGAACCUUUUUCAACUGUCUCUUCCCCCACCCUUCUAAAUUCUUUCCUGUGUGAAGAAACCCAGAUACAUUAGAAAGACGAGAAGACCCUGUCGAGCUUUAACCACUAGGUGAGUUUACUUAUCCCUUUUUAAAUAUCACCAAAAGGUUUUGGUUGGGGCAACCACGGAGAAAAAAAAUCCUCCAGAUUAAAUAGAAGAAAACUCUUCACUAUUACGCUUUCAAGAACCAGGAACUGGUAAUCGGAAAAAGUUACCGCAGGGAUAACAGCGUUAUCUCCUCUAAGAGUCCUUAUUGACGAGGAGGUUUGCGACCUCGAUGUUGGAUUGGGGCCCCCUUAGGGUGCAGAAGCUCUAAACGGUUAGACUGUUCGUCUAUUAAAGCCCUACGUGAUCUGAGU